UACGGGGGGAGCAAGCGUUGUUCGGAUUUACUGGGCGUAAAGGGCGCGUAGGCGGCGUGACAAGUCACUUGUGAAAUCUCCGGGCUUAACUCGGAACGGUCAAGUGAUACUGUCGUGCUAGAGUACAGAAGGGGCAACUGGAAUUCUCGGUGUAGCGGUGAAAUGCGUAGAGAUCAGGAGGAACACCCGUGGCGAAGGCGGCACGCUGGGCCGGCCCUGACGCUGAGGCGCGAAAGCGUGGGGAGCGAACGGG
rnacentral:rRNA from 1 species